rnacentral:rRNA from 1 species
UACGAAGGUGGCAAGCGUUGUUCGGAUUUACUGGGCGUAAAGGGAGCGUAGGUGGUUAGGUAAGCCCUCCGGGAAAUCUUCAGGCUUAACCUGAAAAGGUCGGGGGGGACUGCCUAGCUAGAGGGCGGGAGAGGAGCGCGGAAUUCCCGGUGUAGCGGUGAAAUGCGUAGAGAUCGGGAGGAACACCAGUGGCGAAGGCGGCUACCUGGACCAGCACUGACACUCAGGCACGAAAGCGUGGGGAGCAAACAGG